rnacentral:lncRNA from 12 species
CCUUGAGUAUAGUGGCUCUAUUCUCAUUUUUGGUUUGUUUAUUUAAUCACUCACUUCUCAUUUUUCAAGCUACUUUUGGACUGGAAACUUGUCUCAUUUGGCCCCUUUUGAGCUGGUGUUAUUUCUGGGUCUGGUGGAUACAAGAGGAAGGGAUUGACCGGUUGUCCUAGGUUACAAAGUAAAGAUAUGCCCAAAGGGAUGUAUUCUAUCACCAUCUGCUGAAACCAGGUGAGGCAGUGAUCCUUAUCUCUGUGAGAGAUAUCCUCUGCUAAUGGGCCAACUGUUAAAAACCAGAUGAGGCAAUAUUCAUUAUCUUUCCCAGGACUCAUCCUUCCUCCAGGAACAUAUCUUCUGUUAAUGGGCCAUUGAAUCCCAU